rnacentral:snRNA from 1 species
UUGCUUGCACAGUGGCAGUAUCAUAGCCAACGAGGUCUAUCCAAGGCGUGAUUAUUGCUAAUUGAAAACUGAAGGCAGUGACCUUUGGGGGUUCUAGAGCUAGAUAUUGCUGCCCUCUGCUACUAGGG